rnacentral:rRNA from 1 species
UACGUAGGGCGCAAGCGUUGUCCGGAAUUAUUGGGCGUAAAGGGCUCGUAGGCGGUUUGUUGCGUCGGGAGUGAAAACUCAGGGCUUAACCCUGAGCCUGCUUCCGAUACGGGCAGACUAGAGGUAUGCAGGGGAGAACGGAAUUCCUGGUGUAGCGGUGAAAUGCGCAGAUAUCAGGAGGAACACCGGUGGCGAAGGCGGUUCUCUGGGCAUUACCUGACGCUGAGGAGCGAAAGUGUGGGGAGCGAACAGG